UACUGAUUUCCUCGGUUCUAUGUGGUC
rnacentral:sRNA from 1 species